rnacentral:ncRNA from 1 species
UCUUGAUAAAGGCAAACUAGCUGAAAAGCUAGGACGCAAAGCCUAGGGUCUAAGAUUGUUGCUGGGUAUUUUUUCUCAGUUCGGUUAUGAUCGCCUGGCUGCCAAA